rnacentral:rRNA from 1 species
AGGGUGUAAACGCUGCGGGCUUGGUGUUGGGGGUCCUUUGAGGGCGCCCAGUGCCGGAGAGAAGUUGUUAAGCCUGCUGCUUGGGGAGUACGUCCGCAAGGAUGAAACUUAAAGGAAUUGGCGGGGAGCACCGCAACGGGAGGAGCGUGCGGUUCAAUUGGAUUCAACGCCGGACAACUCACCAGGAGCGACGGUUACAUGAAGGCCAGGCUGAUGACCUUGCCUGAUUUUCCGAGAGGUGGUGCGUGGCGUAGUCGUGU